UAUCUGUGACUGCACCCGUCAGGGGGAGACUGUAAAUGCCAAAUACUUUAUUCUAGACAGGCUGUCAGCUUCAAAGAGAGUUCUGUGAAGGGCCUGGAACCUUCUCUCCACCAUUAGAUGUCAACCCUGACCAAGGUUAUAUUGGCCUGAAAUGCUGUUUAGAAAAUGAACCUUAUCAAAAAAAAAAUGAGAGAAUUUGAGGAGGCCUUGUAGAGAAACUGAAGGAUUCAAGCACAGGACAUCGGGAAAACUGCAGACUUCUGGGAUAGUCACACAGUCUUCCUCAAACUUUGGAACUAAGUUUGUAUGUGCACUGAGAAAGUAGCCCACUCCACACUGACUUAAACACACAGAGAGGAAGCUAACAUUUGCUCAGCAAUUCUCUUCUUAGAGAAUCUCCCGGCUGGUGGUAAGACUUGGAAGUCCUUGACUUGUGGAUUCCAACUUCAGCCCGCGUCGUCAUGCAACCUUCUUCUUUUCAUAUCCUUGCUUUACUUGCACAAGGACGCCAGCUGAGUCAGAUCAAGGUCCCAUCUACUGUAGACUGAUGUAUGCUUAAAUUCAACUUUUCCCCAUUUCCAGUGAAGGUAAACACUAGGAAGUAUAGGGUUAGGACUUCAACACUUGUAUCCAUGCUUCGGGUGACAUGACUCAACUUAUAAAUUGAAGGAACUGUACUUAUGAAUACCUUCGGUACAACUUCCUUAAAAACACUGACAGAGUUUCCGGCAGAACAGUGCUCUGAACCUAGAUUGAACUAUACAGUCCCCAGAGAGAUAGAGUCUCCCAGGACUCCAACAUGAGAUUUGAUAAGAACAACCUAUGAUCCUAGAAGUUUUGUGCUCCACUCUUCCAGCCACUCACCACCCUGAGCUGUCUGCAGUCGCGGGUUUCUGUUCAGGGUGACGAAAUGUUUAGAGAUUCUUCCCUCAAGAUGAUGACGUAGAAUCGAGAAGAAUGAACAGCAUUUUCUCAGGUGCCUUUGCUCAGAUCAUCAAAUUCUCAUAUCCAUCACAUGGUUGCCGCUCACAGUCAUAAUCGCAGCUUUUAUUCAAAAACCUCCACACGGAGCAUCUAAAUAGGACUUAAUCGUGAAACCCACAAGGCAUUGAAGAGUUGGCACCAUGCCACCUAAAUCCACAGGCCAGGGACUGCCAUAGAUGACAAGGCAUCACAGGACAUCCCAAUGGGCUGGUGUGAACGUGAAAUCCGAUUCUGUUGGGAGAUUUCUGAGACACUCUCCAAACCGGGUGGAGGCACUCUGAUUUAAAACCCUUCCAAUCUUGGAGCCUGAACUGCAGCAAAGGUCAAGAGUUGGGAUAUGGGAAUCUCUCCUUUGCCUUUUGGAGCCUGAGCUAAUCAGAGUUCUAAAACGGAAAAAAAAAGAAACAGACUGGCCCCUAGCAACAGCACCCCAUUUUCCCCAAAGAAGACAGAAGACAAAUGGGCACAAAACAACACCCAUCCUCAAUUUGCUUCAUCAAGUGAAAGCGUUAACCACUGUGUUAAACUGACUUUUAUCUAAACUGAAGAUCUCCAGACAGUGGACGAAGGAAAAGAGGAAUCAACGGCAGCCUAGCUGUGUAGGGCAAGAAUCAAUAAUCAACCCAUCAGAUGUCCUUGUUCAAGUCCCAGCAGCAGUGAUAUGUCUCCUAUGAGAUGCCACAAUACUGUACAACCCCUGGAGGAGCUAAGGUGUGUGUGUGUCCCCAUGUGCGACUGCAAACAUCAUCGCGAGAUCAUACGUCAAGCACCAUGUCGUACUGUUGUCCCUUCUUCCUCCUGCCACACUUAUUGAUGAGAACCACAUACAGAGUCAAAAGCAUGACCCAGUAGCAGGCGUAGAUCAAGGUUCCCACAAUGAGAACAGUCUGUUUGGAUUCGGAAAAUGGCUUUUUCGAUUCCUUGUAAAUGGUGAAAAUCACACCACCGAGAAGAAUUGUAAACCACACGGACACUGGAAUAAGUCCGAUAAAAUUGACAACAAUGGUUUUCCUUCCAGAUGUGCCCCACCCUGCUUUGUUUAUGGUUGCAAUUGCGAACAUCUUGGCCGGAAGUAGACUUGACAUGUAUAACACUGAAUAGAGAGACAUGAAGACCAUGACAAUGUUCCCUCUAAGGCAGCUGGCAAAAGAUGACUUUAUGAGACCCACUAGCUGGACAGUUAACAGGAAGAGGAGGAUGUUCCAGAUUUUACCCCUGUAGAAGAGCUGGAUGACUGUGGCAAUGAGAAAGAAAGGAAAGAAUCCAGUGAUAACGGCUUCGUAGGUCAUCCACAAGUGAUGCUUGUGAAACCACAUGGCGUUGUACAGCCACUCUCGGAAAUAGGACUUGCUCCAACGGGUCUGCUGGUUCAGCCAUCUGAGAUACUCUAUAGGUGUUUCCGUAAGGCACUUGGACCGAGCUGUGUAUUUUGUUGCAUAGCCCAGACUCAGCACCCGGUUGGUAAGAUGCCUAUCAUCACCAAAACUGCAUUGGUUGCCCAUGAAUUCCUGAUUGUACCAGUCUUCUACAAACUCAUGCAGCAGGGAGUUUCUGUACAUUCCCAGAGGACCGCUUAUGCACUGGACACACCCAAAAUAAGACUGGCAGGCCCUUUCUAUAUUAAAAGCCAUCCAGUAUCUCACACUGCUGAGGAAGGAGAUCCAGGAAUCAUACUUGUUUAAAAUCUGCAAGUUAAAAAAAUAAAUAAAAGUUAGCUUUAGCUUAAUAAUACCAAGAAACCCCAAUGUAUACUGAGAUCACUGCUUGGCAUGAAAUCUGUUCCUCUGUGAUUCUCUUUUGGCUUCCUUCUUCUUUCUGAUAUUCUUUUAUCUUGUAUUCUUGGGUUUUGUGUAAUGAAAUAAGCUUGAUUGGUUGGGUGUACAUGUAUGCAUAUUAAUGCACUUAGUUAUAACUUUAAGCAUCAAUAAUCAAUCCUUAAAUGUUCCCAGAUGUGUUUUUGUAAAUUACCAUCUAAGAUUGCAAGAGUUAAGGUCCUAGGUGUGUUGUGUUGGGUAUUCAGCUCAUGUGUGUUCGUGGAAGAAACAGGUUUACACUAGGAUUCUUCUGAUCUGGUUAACGUCCCAGUUUUUAAUCCUUAUGCGUUCACUUUCCUUUUCCAUUCAUUAAUUCCAAGGGAUAAAAAUAAUCCCCCAAAUAAUUAAUUCUAUCUGAAUUUUGUAUGCAUCUCUCCUUUUUAAACCACCAGGCUAUUUCUUUGUUUGCCUUAAUAUGAUGUUUCAUUGUCAACUUUAGGAACAAGCAUGCAUACAUGGGUCACAGUACAAAUCUCCAUUUUGAGGUUUAUUUUCUUUGUACUCCUCAUCUGGUGUUAAGAUUGAAUACUAUACUUACAAGGAAUUCUGAUUUUACCCUUACAUAUUUUCACAUACUUGCAUUUCUAUCCAAGAAACUUCAGUAUUGUGUCAUUAAUAAUUGUUUCUCCAUUACUAAUAAAUGUUGGGAAAUAUUAA